GCUUCCGUGGUGGAAUUGGUAGACACACAGCACUCAAAAUGCUGCGCCCUUAAAGCGUGUGGGUUCGAGUCCCACCGGGAGCA
rnacentral:tRNA from 1 species